rnacentral:rRNA from 1 species
UGGGGAAUUUUGGACAAUGGGCGCAAGCCUGAUCCAGCAAUGCCGCGUGCAGGAUGAAGGCCUUCGGGUUGUAAACUGCUUUUGUACGGAGCGAAAAGGUCUGCCCUAAUACAUGGGGCUAAUGACGGUACCGUAAGAAUAAGCACCGGCUAACUACGUGCCAGCAGCCGCGGUAAUACGUAGGGUGCGAGCGUUAAUCGGAAUUACUGGGCGUAAAGCGUGCGCAGGCGGUUAUAUAAGACAGAUGUGAAAUCCCCGGGCUCAACCUGGGACCUGCACUUGUGACUGUAUAGCUAGAGUACGGUAGAGGGGGAUGGAAUUCCGCGUGUAGCAGUGAAAUGCGUAGAUAUGCGGAGGAACACCGAUGGCGAAGGCAAUCCCCUGGACCUGUACUGACGCUCAUGCACGAAAGUGUGGGGAGCAAACA